GGGUUGUGAGGUUAAGCGACUAAGCGUACACGGUGGAUGCCCUGGCAGUCAGAGGCGAUGAAGGACGUGCUAAUCUGCGAUAAGCGUCGGUGAGGUGAUAUGAACCGUUAUAACCGGCGAUUUCCGAAUGGGGAAACCCAGUGUGUUUCGACACACUAUCAUUAACUGAAUCCAUAGGUUAAUGAGGCGAACCGGGGGAACUGAAACAUCUAAGUACCCCGAGGAAAAGAAAUCAACCGAGAUUCCCCCAGUAGCGGCGAGCGAACGGGGAGGAGCCCAGAGCCUGAAUCAGUGUGUGUGUUAGUGGAAGCGUCUGGAAAGGCGCGCGAUACAGGGUGACAGCCCCGUACACAAAAAUGCACAUAUUGUGAGCUCGAUGAGUAGGGCGGGACACGUGGUAUCCUGUCUGAAUAUGGGGGGACCAUCCUCCAAGGCUAAAUACUCCUGACUGACCGAUAGUGAACCAGUACCGUGAGGGAAAGGCGAAAAGAACCCCGGCGAGGGGAGUGAAAAAGAACCUGAAACCGUGUACGUACAAGCAGUGGGAGCCUCUUAAUGGGGUGACUGCGUACCUUUUGUAUAAUGGGUCAGCGACUUAUAUUCUGUAGCAAGGUUAACCGAAUAGGGGAGCCGAAGGGAAACCGAGUCUUAACUGGGCGUUAAGUUGCAGGGUAUAGACCCGAAACCCGGUGAUCUAGCCAUGGGCAGGUUGAAGGUUGGGUAACACUAACUGGAGGACCGAACCGACUAAUGUUGAAAAAUUAGCGGAUGACUUGUGGCUGGGGGUGAAAGGCCAAUCAAACCGGGAGAUAGCUGGUUCUCCCCGAAAGCUAUUUAGGUAGCGCCUCGUGAAUUCAUCUCCGGGGGUAGAGCACUGUUUCGGCAAGGGGGUCAUCCCGACUUACCAACCCGAUGCAAACUGCGAAUACCGGAGAAUGUUAUCACGGGAGACACACGGCGGGUGCUAACGUCCGUCGUGAAGAGGGAAACAACCCAGACCGCCAGCUAAGGUCCCAAAGUCAUGGUUAAGUGGGAAACGAUGUGGGAAGGCCCAGACAGCCAGGAUGUUGGCUUAGAAGCAGCCAUCAUUUAAAGAAAGCGUAAUAGCUCACUGGUCGAGUCGGCCUGCGCGGAAGAUGUAACGGGGCUAAACCAUGCACCGAAGCUGCGGCAGCGACACUAUGUGUUGUUGGGUAGGGGAGCGUUCUGUAAGCCUGUGAAGGUGUACUGUGAGGU
rnacentral:rRNA from 1 species